rnacentral:lncRNA from 1 species
AAACACCAAGAAUUUAUUACAGAUAAAAAAUUUUAUUUUAAAAAUAGUCUCGAUAAAAUUAUAAUUGUAAAAAUAAUUCUAUCUCUGCCACGCAGAUGCUAUGUAAGCGCCACACGGACGGGCUGGGUAGUGGGUCUGGCAAGUUGAACACCGUAAAUCAUUCACCGUAUUCAAACACGGUGAAUGGUUUACCGUAUUCAGUUAGCUAUUCUAUCCCGAAAAAGAUAGUGUAUACAUUUAGAAUUUAUAUCAAGCGGCGCGAAUAAUCAAAAGAAACACGAUGAACCAUUCUCCGUGUUUGAACACAAUGAGGCCCCGUUUGGAUACUCCUGAAAACGUAGCAUAGUUAAACUAUGCUACGGCGGUAGGAAAAAUAUCCUAUGAAGCGUUUGGGAGGAAAAAAAGUAACGUAAUUUUUGGAGUAUAGUUAAACUAUACUCCAAAAAAUAGAGUAAAAGUAUAAUCCACUCUAACCAAAGGAAAAAAAUUCCACCAUUCUUGAACUCCCUUAUUCAAAAAAAUGCAUCAAGUUCGAACUUUUAAAUUUCAACAUAAAAUUUUAAAUUUCAACAUAGAUUUUAAAUUUCAAUAUAGAUUUAAAAUUUAAAAUUUAAAGUUUAAAAUUUGAAAUUUGAACUAUGAGACUUGAGAUUUGAAAUUUCAAAUUUAAAAUUUGAAAUUUGAAAUUUAAAUUUUAAAUUUUAAAUUUUAAAAGUUAAAAUUUAAAAUUUAAAGUUUGAAAUUUAAAAUUUAAAAUUUAAAAUUUAAAAUUUAAAA